GACGAACGCUGGCGGCGUGCUUAACACAUGCAAGUCGAACGGUAAGGCCUCUUCGGGGGUACACGAGUGGCGAACGGGUGAGUAACACGUGAGUAAUCUGCCUCUGACUUUGGGAUAAGCCCAAGAAAUUGGGUCUAAUACUGGAUAUUCACCUUGGGGCGCAUGUUUUGGGGUGGAAAGUUUUUGCGGUCAGGGAUGGGCUCGCGGCCUAUCAGCUUGUUGGUGAGGUAAUGGCUCACCAAGGCUUCGACGGGUAGCCGGCCUGAGAGGGCGACCGGCCACACUGGGACUGAGAUACGGCCCAGACUCCUACGGGAGGCAGCAGUGGGGAAUAUUGCACAAUGGACGGAAGUCUGAUGCAGCAACGCCGCGUGCGGGAUGACGGCCUUCGGGUUGUAAACCGCUUUCACUCAUGACGAAGCGUAAGUGACGGUAAUGGGAGAAGAAGCACCGGCCAACUACGUGCCAGCAGCCGCCGUAACAC
rnacentral:rRNA from 1 species